AGCGGCGGACGGGUGAGUAACGCGUGGGUAACCUGCCCUGUACACACGGAUAACAUACCGAAAGGUAUGCUAAUACGAGAUAAUAUGCUUUUAUCGCAUGGUAGAAGUAUCAAAGCCUUUGCGGUACAGGAUGGACCCGCGUCUGAUUAGCUAGUUGGUAAGGUAACGGCUUACCAAGGCGACGAUCAGUAGCCGACCUGAGAGGGUGAUCGGCCACAUUGGAACUGAGACACGGUCCAAACUCCUACGGGAGGCAGCAGUGGGGAAUAUUGCACAACGGGCGAAAGCCUGAUGCAGCAACGCCGCGUGAGCGAUGAAGGCCUUCGGGUCGUAAAGCUCUGUCCUCAAGGAAGAUAAUGACGGUACUUGAGGAGGAAGCCCCGGCUAACUACGUGCCAGCAGCCGCGGUAAUACGUAGGGGGCUAGCGUUAUCCGGAAUUACUGGGCGUAAAGGGUGCGUAGGUGGUUUCUUAAGUCAGAGGUGAAAGGCUACGGCUCAACCGUAGUAAGCCUUUGAAACUGGGAAACUUGAGUGCAGGAGAGGAGAGUGGAAUUCCUAGUGUAGCGGUGAAAUGCGUAGAUAUUAGGAGGAACACCAGUUGCGAAGGCGGCUCUCUGGACUGUAACUGACACUGAGGCACGAAAGCGUGGGGAGCAAACAGGAUUAGAUACCCUGGUAGUCCACGCCGUGAACGAUGAGUACUAGCUGU
rnacentral:rRNA from 1 species